rnacentral:rRNA from 1 species
UUUGACCUACGGGAGGCAGCAGUGGGGGAUAUUGCACAAUGGGGGAAACCCUGAUGCAGCGACGCCGCGUGGGCGAAGAAGUAUUUCGGUAUGUAAAGCCCUAUCAGCAGGGAAGAAGAAAUGACGGUACCUGAGUAAGAAGCACCGGCUAAAUACGUGCCAGCAGCCGCGGUAAUACGUAUGGUGCAAGCGUUAUCCGGAUUUACUGGGUGUAAAGGGAGCGUAGACGGCGAUGCAAGUCUGAAGUGAAAGGCGGGGGCCCAACCCACGGACUGCUUUGGAAACUGUAUAGCUGGAGUGCAGGG